rnacentral:misc_RNA from 1 species
GAAUCGUGGGUCCGGAACAAACUAUAUUAAGAGCACGGCUGAAAUGUUAAAUCCUUUUAUUUAUUUUAUCAUCCCCUUACACAUUGAAGAAAAACUUGCAUUUGUUAAUCUUAGCCUAGACUAAGAUCAUUGUGAUACCAUUUAUCUGUAAGGUUAAUGCCAGAAAUUUAGUUUAAUAAAUUAUUUCAAAGAUUAAAAAAUUGGUUCAUUUGGCAUACCUUCCCAUUAGCUCUU